rnacentral:rRNA from 1 species
GAUGAACGCUAGCGGCAGCCUUAACACAUGCAAGUCGAGGGGUAACGUGAGUGCUUGCACUUGACGACGACCGGCGCACGGGUGCGGAACGCGUAUGGAACCUACCUUUAUCAGGGAGAUAGCCCAUGGGGGGGGGGGGGGGGACCCCAUAGUAUUAUUUCAUUGCAUGAUGAUAUAAUUAAAGAAUUUCGGAUAGAGAUGGCCAUGCGUAUCAUUAGCUAGUAGGCAAGGUAACGGCUCACCUAGGCGACGAUGAUUAGGGGUCCUGAGAGGGAGAUCCCCCACACUGGUACUGAGACACGGACCAGACUCCUACGGGAGGCAGCAGUGAGGAAUAUUGGGCAAUGGAGGGGGGGGGGACCCAGCCAUGCCGCGUGCAGGAAGACGGCCCUAUGGGUUGUAAACUGCUUUUAUACAGGAAGAACACCACCCACGUGUGGGUGACUGACGGUACUGUAAGAAUAAGGACCGGCUAACUCCGUG